rnacentral:rRNA from 1 species
AACGAACGCUGGCGGCAUGCCUAACACAUGCAAGUCGAACGAGACCUUCGGGUCUAGUGGCGCACGGGUGCGUAACGCGUGGGAAUCUGCCCUUGGGUUCGGAAUAACAGUUGGAAACGACUGCUAAUACCGGAUGAUGACGUAAGUCCAAAGAUUGAUCGCCCAGGGAUGAGCCCGCGUAGGUUUAGCUAGUUGGUGGGGUAAAGGCCUACCAAGGCGUCGAUCCUUAGCUGGUCUGAGAGGAUGAUCAGCCACACUGGGACUGAGACACGGCCCAGACUCCGACGGGAGGGAGCAGAGGGGUAUAUUGGAGGAUGGGGGAAAGCCUGAUCCAGCAAUGCCGGGUAAGUGAUGAAGGCGUUAGUGUUGUAAAGCUGUUUUACCCGGGAUGAUAAUGACAGUACCGGGAGAAUAAGCCCCGGCUAACUCCGUG